CGGGGUACUCGAGUGGCGAACGGGUGAGUAACACGUGGGUGAUCUGCCCUGCACUUCGGGAUAAGCUUGGGAAACUGGGUCUAAUACCGGAUAGGAGCCAUCUUUAGUGUGGUGGUUGGAAAGUUUUUUCGGUGUAGGAUGAGCUCGCAGCCUAUCAGCUUGUUGGUGGGGUAAUGGCCUACCAAGGCGGCGACGGGUAGCCGGCCUGAGAGGGUGUACGGCCACAUUGGGACUGAGAUACGGCCCAG
rnacentral:rRNA from 1 species